GGGCGCGUAGUUUAAUGGUAAAAUAUCUGGCUCCAGACCAGAAGCCGGGGGUUCGAUUCCCUCCGUGCCCA
rfam:Candidatus Pacearchaeota archaeon CG1_02_32_132 cg_0.2_sub10_scaffold_283_c, whole genome shotgun sequence.